rnacentral:lncRNA from 13 species
GAGAGACUACUGAUCGCUCUUCGUGCUGCUCCUAAAAUCAGCUCUAUUAGGAGUUAGAAAUACCAGCAUUCUUCCAAAGAAGCUUAUUUUUAUUAUAUUCCCAGCCUAAUACUGGAAACCAAAGAGCUUUAGAAUAGAACUGGCUGCAACUCUAGCAUUUCCCUUGAAAGAAAGCAGUGUCAGAGCAUCAAGAGAGAGAAGCUCCCGCUGGGAAGAUGUUGCAGAUCCUGCAGUCAUCCUGCUCUGCAACCUCUCUUGUUUGGGCUCAUUAACUUCUGCUGCUCAGGAGAUAUGGACAAAACCACAAGUGAGUGGCUCAGCUUCGAUAUCCAACCCAUCCACAUCCCACAGGGAUCCCAGCUGGUGCAUUUGCUGUACAAGGAUCUUCACAGGGAGAGGAAUUUGCCGAGCCCUGAGCAGUGGCUUCUGUUCCUGCUGUGGUUGGAUCCCCUCUCGGAUGUCUCGGAGCUUCUCCGUGAGUUUCGGAAGCAGAAACGCGUUUUCUUAUUGGGCACUGAAGGUGCUGCUGGAAUUGUUCAGCACGUGACACAAAGUACCACCAGAUACCUCUGAAAGUUCAAACCUAGGGAAAAGUGGGAUAGGGACAGGGAUAGGGACAGGGACAGGGAUAGGGAUAGGGAUAGGGAUGGGGAUAGGGUAGGGGUAGGGUUACGGUGGGGAUGGGGAUAGGGUGGUUAGUGAUGCUCUCAGCACACGGCGCUCCUGGGAAGCGUGCAAAGGGAUGGAGACAGUCGUGUGCUGGGAAGCAGCUCCUGUCUCAUGUCCUGCGACUUGAGGAUUUCACUUGGGACAUUUCUGCUUCAGUCCCUGUCUCUCAGGCACAUGGUUGGGUUUUUGGAACUCUCCUGUGCAGGGCCAAGAUCUGAGCUCGAUGAUCCUUAUGGGUCCCUUGCAGCUCAGG